rnacentral:rRNA from 1 species
CGCCUGUUUAACAAAAACAUGUCUUCUUGUUAUAUUUAGGAAGUCUGGCCUGCCCAGUGAAAAUAAUUUAACGGCCGCGGUAUACUGACCGUGCAAAGGUAGCAUAAUCAUUAGUCUUUUAAUAGAGGGCUGGUAUGAAGGGUUUAACGAGGUGUUGACUGUCUCAUUUAAUUUGAAUUUAGAAUUUAAUUUUUUAGUUAAAAAGCUGAAAUAUUAUUGGAAGACGAGAAGACCCUAUAGAGCUUUAUAUUUUUAUUAAUAAUUUAUUAUAGAUUAUUAUUAUUAUUUAUUAUUAUUAUAAAAUAUUUUGUUGGGGUGACAAAAAUAUAUAAUUAACUUUUUUAUUUAUUUUACAUUGAUAUAUGAAUAUUAGAUCCAAUCUUAUUGAUUGUUAGAUUAAGUUACCUUAGGGAUAACAGCG